rnacentral:rRNA from 1 species
AUUGAACGCUGGCGGCAUGCUUUACACAUGCAAGUCGAACGGUAACAGGCCGCCAGGUGCUGACGAGUGGCGAACGGGUGAGUAAUGCAUCGGAACGUGCCCAGUCGUGGGGGAUAACUACUCGAAAGAGUAGCUAAUACCGCAUACGAUCUAUGGAUGAAAGCGGGGGACCGUAAGGCCUCGCGCGAUUGGAGCGGCCGAUGUCAGAUUAGGUAGUUGGUGGGGUAAAGGCUCACCAAGCCAACGAUCUGUAGCUGGUCUGAGAGGACGACCAGCCACACUGGGACUGAGACACGGCCCAGACUCCUACGGGAGGCAGCAGUGGGGAAUUUUGGACAAUGGGCGCAAGCCUGAUCCAGCAAUGCCGCGUGCAGGAAGAAGGCCUUCGGGCUGUAAACUGCUUUUGUACGGAACGAAACGGCUCUGGUUAAUACCCGGGGCUAAUGACGGUACCGUAAGAAUAAGCACCGGCUAACUACGUG